rnacentral:lncRNA from 1 species
AUGUAACUGUCAAAGCCGGAAUGUUUAAAGCAUACAUCCCGCCCAAGGCAUACUGUGAGGAUCUCCUAUCAGGCCGCUUGGAAACUUGCAGACGCCGAUAUGCCUUACGUUGGGUGCAGCCGAGGUUAUGGACUGCCAAGUGGAAUAUACCCCUUGAGGAAAACAAUUAGGAUCCACUGUCCAGCAAGGAGAUUGCGUUAUCAGCAACUGACAUAUUGACUGAUGAAACAUAAUUGUGCGUGCAGCAAAAUAGGGUUUGACUGCAGGUCCCGACCACCUGCUUCUGUAAAUUUGUACUAACCACAGGUGAAAGCAAGGAGAAAUGCUUUGUGUACCGGCGGCCUUCUAUCAGCUAGACAAGUCCCUGAAUCAAUAUUCAUAAAUGUAAUCAAUAAAUUUAUGUUUAAUAAUGGCUAUCACGCUAAUUUUGACGUCUUCUGCUUUGAAGGUAUGAAAGCAACAAAAUAUGAAUCCUUUUUGAAUGGUACAUCUUUUUGUUUUGUUUUUCAGACAAUUCCUUAUGCACAGCAGUUUUGUACAAUGUUUGAUUUGGUGCUCUUUUUGAAGUUU